UACGUAGGUGGCAAGCGUUGUCCGGAUUUAUUGGGUUUAAAGGGUGCGUAGGCGGUCAAUUAAGUCAGUGGUGAAAUACGGCAGCUUAAUUGUCGAGGUGCCAUUGAUACUGGUUGACUUGAGUACUGAUGAGGUAGGCGGAAUGGACGGUGUAGCGGAUGAAAUGCUUAGAGAUCGUCCAGAACACCGAUAGCGAAGGCAGCUUACUAAGGAGUAACUGACGCUGAGGCACGAAAGUGUGGGGAUCAAACAGG
rnacentral:rRNA from 1 species